ACGGGAGGCAGCAGUGGGGAAUAUUGGGCAAUGGGCGAAAGCCUGACCCAGCAACGCCGCGUGAAGGAAGAAGGUCUUCGGAUUGUAAACUUCUUUUAUGAGGGACGAAGGAAUUGACGGUACCUCAUGAAUAGGCCACGGCUAACUACGUGCCAGCAGCCGCGGUAAUACGUAGGUGGCAAGCGUUAUCCGGAUUUACUGGGUGUAAAGGGCGCGUAGGCGGGAAAGCAAGUCAGAUGUGAAAUCCAUGGGCUCAACUCAUGAACUGCAUUUGAAACUGUUUUUCUUGAGUGUCGGAGAGGUAGAUGGAAUUCCUAGUGUAGCGGUGAAAUGCGUAGAUAUUAGGAAGAACACCAGUGGCGAAGGCGGUUAGCUGGACAGUAACUGACGCUGAGGCGCGAAAGCGUGGGUAGCAAACAGGAUUAGAUACCCUGGUA
rnacentral:rRNA from 1 species